GAUCAUUACUGAUUUGCUUAAUUGCACCACAUGUGUUUUUUAUUGAACAAAUUUCUUUGGUGGCGGGAGCAAUCCUACCGCCAGAGGUUAUAACUAAACCAAACUUUUUAUUUACAGUCAAACUUGAUUUAUUAUUACAAUAGUCAAAACUUUCAACAACGGAUCUCUUGGUUCUCGCAUCGAUGAAGAACGCAGCGAAAUGCGAUACGUAAUAUGAAUUGCAGAUAUUCGUGAAUCAUCGAAUCUUUGAACGCACAUUGCGCCCUUUGGUAUUCCAAAGGGCAUGCCUGUUUGAGCGUCAUUUCUCCCUCAAACCCCCGGGUUUGGUGUUGAGCAAUACGCUAGGUUUGUUUGAAAGAAUUUAACGUGGAAACUUAUUUUAAGCGACUUAGGUUUAUCCAAAACGCUUAUUUUGCUAGUGGCCACCACAAUUUAUUUCAUAACUUUGACCUCA
rnacentral:misc_RNA from 1 species